AUACUUGGCACAAUCUACUGGAAGAAGACGCAUCCUGCCUUCUGUGAAACAAGGUUGUGACAACAGGUGGUCCCGAAGCAAGUUUGUCCUCGCAAAGGACUUUAGGAGAGAUAAUUUGCGAUGAACCUCGAUCUUCGGGGGAGAGAAAGAGAGCGAGUUCUUCUUUCUUUUCUGGAUCUAAAUACGGAAUCGAUAUUGAGAACGAAGAGACACACGUGGAAAAGGAAGAGAGGCGUUUACGCAAAUGAAGGAGCUACAGCCGGCUGGAGAAUGAAAAAAGGGCAAAAUCGAGACGUACACUUCAAGAAGUCAGUGAUGUCGCGUCAGUAAGUGUCGGUGAAGUCAGCGGAAUUUUCUCUCGCGCUAACUACUACGUUGGGGAAACAAGAAAGAAUGACAACUUACCGAUAUGCAGCUUCCUCGUCAUAAUCGUGAUCUCUCUCCAAAUCACGAAUGUCCCCCUGUGGCGAGGCAACCGCUCUUUCCACGCCGUGGAAAUCCCAAUUCUGGGGCCUCGGCACCUCUUCAAUCAGGUCCGACUGAUCAGCCCGUCGACCCUGGCGAGAACCGCUCUGAACACUACGACGAGCUCGACGCGAUAUCGUAUAGUUCUGAGGAUCCUUACCAUCCUUGCGUAGAAUCUCGGGCAGGAUACGUCGCCUGGCAUUUAUAAACCAGUUACACACCUGGAAAAGAAACAUGUAAAAUGGUCUGAAUGGUCUAAAUGGUUUAAAAUGGUUGGAAAAAAUGGUCUAAAAUUCUAACAAAAUCGAUAAAAGGAUAUUUCCAUGGAUUAAUAUACAUAUAAAAGGCGAUAAGAGCUAAAUUGAAAACAAUUAUACUAACCUGUAGGAUGGAGAGCCGAGUAAGCUCGCUGAGAUGCAGCUUCUCGCUCUCACUGGGAUAAGCGUUGUACCGAUGUUCCAUCAGCCAACGCUUAAGGAUGUUCACCGCUUCCUUGGGCAGGUUGCCGCGGCGUUUCCUGCGCGACGAGUCCUGACCGGAAGCGGCGUGGCGAUUUCGCCGAAUGUCAGGCGACGUAUCCGGAGAGAUGUUCUCCGUCUCGGACAAUCCGCUAUGAUCUUCGUCCGUGGUGCUGGAUGCUCGGGUCGGUGGUAAAGCUCCCACCGAAGCUCCGGUCGCGGCUCCAGGACGUCGAUUAUAGAAUGGAGCCACUGCUGAAACAAUAAAAAACAAUUGCGUUUUUGUUAAUCAUAAAUAAUUGGCAAUUUUUUUAAAUAAUAGAACUCAUGUAUAUCGACGUGAUUUUUUAUGAAAAUUUUUUGGAGUUUUUUAAGGUUUUAUUAUUGGUAAAAAAUGUGUUAAUGGUCGAAUAAUAUCUAGUUUUUCGUGGAUCAUAUAUAUUUUAUUCUUUUUAAUGUAUCUUUUUAUGUUCAAGUUACAUAUCAAUUUCAUGAUCGUGCGCGCGCACAAAUGUCCUAAUUAUAUAAAAAUUUAUAAUAUAAAUCCGACCUAAUGUCACCGCCAGAGCAUGUGCAAAGGGUUACAUGCUGUUUUCAGGUGUCUUUUUAUACGCAGCAUGCUGCAGCAGCUGACUUUCCUCAAUUGAACUUCAUCAAUAGCAACAAACUGCGGCAGCAUGCUGUACAUGAAUACUAAUUUUAUAUUCAGAAUAUCUCUUAACACGUUAAUUAACGAUCGCGUUUGAAGGUGUGACAGUGUUUUUAAGUAUGAUAAAUUAAAAUACGAUAAGAAUAAGAAACACUUUCGAUUGUGUAACCGAGAUAAGAAAAACACGCGCAUAUGUAUGUCCCACCUGACUUUCUUGGGAGAAGUAUAGAAGAUACUUUUUAUUUCUUCUUCUCGGGAGGCAUUUUUAUUUUUUUCUCAUAUUUCAGACAAAUUAAAAAAAUGAAACUCGAUGAAUAUUCUUUCCACUAACAAAAAAAAUAUUUAUUAAUAUUUUCUUAAUCUUCCUAUAUCGUCAUAAGGGGAUGGAACUAACAACCCCUAUUUAUAGAAUAUUUUAUCAGAACUUUUUAACGGAAUAUGAUUAUCUAAAAAUAUGCGUGAGAAAGUUUGAUUUUUUUAGAGAAAGUUGUUUGUAUUUUUUUUGUAAAAUCAAUAGUUUUUAAGAAUCGUCAAAAAUUGUUCGUACUUGUUUAGCACCCUGUAUAUCGCUAUAGUCUUCGUUUACGAGCGAAAAUCGGCGGCGAUAUCGCGCAAUAGAGAGAACUCUCUUCGGGACGCGCCUACGCAUUUCGCGCGUGAGAUUCCCUCACGCACCGAACUUGCGGCUGAUUGGCCGAGAUUCGCCUUUCAUUGAGGCGGCGCACGCGUACGAACGUCCGGAUUAUGCAAUUCAAGGUUACGGUGGAGCGAGCGUAAACAGGGAGGUCGUAAGAAUAAGCGAGCUACAGUGCGAGAGAGGCGACCGACCCGAAACACCGAAGGAAUUUGUUUUCGAUCGAUUGCUGACGAGCAAAGCUGUCAAAAAACUCGCGACACGUCGAUAUGAAUAUAGGACUUUUGUGGUCGAUGAUGUACCCGAGUCCUGAUCUUGACGGAACGUCUAUCGUCUAUAAAAAGGGCGCCGACAAAGUACAAUACUUGGAUGGCAAAAGAAAAAAAUUCUACGAAUUUUCGAAAGAGUAGAUUGGAAAUUCAUGGGUGUCGUCUCUCGAAGCAGAUGAGGAGGCACAAGCGGGUGCAUCUCGUCGAGGGACAACGAUGCCCAUUCCGGAAACGGAAUCCACCGCUAGAGAGGAGGACCGAAACUAAACUUAGCGCUUGAGUUUUGCAGUUACGUAAGGUCCAGUAACCCGACGAUGUAAAAUUAGGAUAGCUCUCCUUGCUUUUGCGCGUGUGCGUCCCCUAAUUUUUUUUUUUUUUUUUUUUAGCGACAACUGUGUGUCCUCGUCUCAUAGUUUGGAAUGUCCAUCCAUCUUACAGCUCGCGACAGAAUCCAUGUUCGAUGAUGGAUAAUCUCAUAUUCCGUAUUUAUUUGGCGUGUUGCAAGACUUAUCUUGGCGACUUUUGCGCGUAUAAAUAUUACACAUACACGAAUAUUUUAAUUAAUAAUAUUAAACAUUAUGCUAUAAUCUUGGCAGAGAUAUAUGCAUGUAAUUUGAAUAGAUUACAGAUAUUAUAAAUUCGCGGACGAUGAAAAAUAUUACAUGGCAAUAAAUUUAUCAUCAUAUAGAAAUAACGUUCGAUUUAUAUCCGUAUAUAAGAUAACGAAUUUAUUUAAAUAUUUAUGUAUUUGUACACGUCGCAUAUUUCUUCAGCUUUUUAUUAAAAAAAAUU